rnacentral:rRNA from 1 species
UACGGAGGGGGCUAGCGUUGUUCGGAAUUACUGGGCGUAAAGCGCGCGUAGGCGGACCUGCAAGUCGGGGGUGAAAGCCCGAGGCUCAACCUCGGAGCUGCCUUCGAUACUGCGGGUCUCGAGUCCGGGAGAGGUGAGUGGAAUUCCUAGUGUAGAGGUGAAAUUCGUAGAUAUUAGGAAGAACACCAGUGGCGAAGGCGGCUCACUGGCCCGGUACUGACGCUGAGGCGCGUAAGCGUGGGGAGCAAACAGG